rnacentral:rRNA from 1 species
UACGUUCCCGGGUCUUGUACACACCGCCCGUCACACCAUGGGAGUGGGUUUUACCAGAAGUAGGUAGCCUAACCGUAAGGAGGGCGCUUACCACGGUAGGAUUCGUGACUGGGGUG